rnacentral:rRNA from 1 species
UACGUAGGGGGCAAGCGUUGUCCGGAUUUAUUGGGCGUAAAGAGCGUGUAGGCGGCCAGGUAGGUCCGUUGUGAAAACUCGAGGCUCAACCUCGAGACGUCGGCGGAAACCCUCUGGCUAGAGUCCGGAAGAGGAGAGUGGAAUUCCUGGUGUAGCGGUGAAAUGCGCAGAUAUCAGGAGGAACACCGGUGGCGAAGGCGGGUCUCUGGGCCGUAACUGACGCUGAGGAGCGAAAGCAUGGGGAGCGAACAGG